rnacentral:lncRNA from 1 species
UAAUCGAUGAGGAAAGGGCUAUCCGUUAGAUGAAGCCGCCUCUAAGUGAAAGGCCACUCUUAGGAGGAAAGGGCUAUCAACGAGAUGGAGCCGUCUCUCGAUUCUUUCGUAACGAAUUAUUUUAUUUGAUUGAAUUUCUAUAUUCUUAUCUUAUUUCAAUUUUUAAACUCUAUAACGAAUUGAAUCGAAUAUUAUUUAUAUUACAUAGUUACUACUAUACAAUGAUUGUUACAAGCUUCUAAAAAAUCAAACGCUCGUGCCUUUGUGUGUUUCCCAUCUAGUUGGUAGUGGUUGUUAUCUCUCACUAAGUCUUUGUGACUUACCCCUUCUUCUUACAUUUUUUCAGAUUUCCAGUCAGCUGAGUAGCAAGUUGUUAGCUCAUUCAAAUCUUCAUCAGUCUCACUCUUUUGGUAGGCCUCCUUUAUGGAAGGCUAAUUUGUAUAUGUAUCUUUUGGUUUGAUCGAAUAUCUGCAGCUAUUUUGAGUCUAGGAAUAUUUCAUUUUGGAAUGUACAAAGUUAAGAACGUAAAUGUUGAAACUUUGACUAGUGAUGUAUAUGCUGCAAACAGGGUU